rnacentral:rRNA from 1 species
GACGAACGCUGGCGGCGUGCCUAAUACAUGCAAGUCGAGCGGACCUCUUCGGAGGUCAGCGGCGGACGGGUGAGUAACACGUGGGCAACCUGCCUGUAAGACUGGGAUAACACCGGGAAACCGGUGCUAAUACCGGAUAAUCCUUUUCCUCACAUGAGGGGAAGCUGAAAGACGGUUUCGGCUGUCACUUACAGAUGGGCCCGCGGCGCAUUAGCUAGUUGGUGGGGUAACGGCCCACCAAGGCGACGAUGCGUAGCCGACCUGCGAGGGUGAUCGGCCACACUGGGACUGAGACACGGCCCAGACUCCUACGGGAGGCAGCAGUAGGGAAUCUUCCGCAAUGGACGAAAGUCUGACGGAGCAACGCCGCGUGAGCGAAGAAGGCCUUCGGGUCGUAAAGCUCUGUUGUCAGGGAAGAACACGUACCGGAGUAACUGCCGGUACCUUGACGGUACCUGACCAGAAAGCCACGGCUAACUACGUGCCAGCCGCCGCAGUAAUAC